GGGGAAUUUUGGACAAUGGGGGCAACCCUGAUCCAGCCAUUCCGCGUGAGUGAAGAAGGCCUUCGGGUUGUAAAGCUCUUUUGUCCGGAGCGAAACGGGUAGCCCUAAUACGGCUGCCUACUGACGGUACCGGAAGAAUAAGCACCGGCUAACUACGUGCCAGCAGCCGCGGUAAUACGUAGGGUGCGAGCGUUAAUCGGAAUUACUGGGCGUAAAGCGUGCGCAGGCGGUUUUGUAAGCCAGAUGUGAAAUCCCCGGGCUCAACCUGGGAAUGGCAUUUGGGACUGCAAGGCUGGAGUGUGGCAGAGGGGACUAGAAUUCCUGGUGUAGCAGUGAAAUGCGUAGAUAUCAGGAGGAAUACCGAUGGCGAAGGCAGGUCCCUGGGCUAACACUGACGCUCAUGCACGAAAGCGUGGGGAGCAAAC
rnacentral:rRNA from 1 species